UACGGGGGGGGGUAAGCGUUGUUCGGAAUUACUGGGCGUAAAGGGCUCGUAGGCGGCCAACUAAGUCGGACGUGAAAUCCCUCAGCUUAACUGGGGAACUGCGUCCGAUACUGGAUGGCUUGGAUUUGGGAGAGGGAUGCGGAAUUCCAGGUGUAGCGGUGAAAUGCGUAGAUAUCUGGAGGAACACCGGUGGCGAAGGCGGCAUCCUGGACCGACACUGACGCUGAGGAGCGAAAGCCAGGGGAGCAAACGGG
rnacentral:rRNA from 1 species